GACGAACGCUGGCGGCGCGCCUAACACAUGCAAGUCGAGCGAGAACCGGGGCUUCGGCCCCGGGGAAAGCGGCGAACGGGUGAGUAACACGUGGGUAAUCUGCCCUCGGUUCCGGAAUAGCCCGGGGAAACCCGGAUUAAUGCCGGAUGGCCUGCCGGCCCUUUGGGGUCGGCAGAAAAGGUAGCUUCGGCCUCCGACCGAGGAUGAGCCCGCGGCAGAUUAGCUAGUUGGUGGGGUAAUGGCCCACCAAGGCGACGAUCUGUAGCUGGUCUGAGAGGACGAUCAGCCACACUGGGACUGAGACACGGCCCAGACUCCUACGGGAGGCAGCAGUGGGGAAUAUUGGACAAUGGGCGAAAGCCUGAUCCAGCGACGCCGCGUGGGUGAAGAAGGCCUGCGGGUUGUAAAGCCCUUUCGGUGGGAAGAAAAGCCUCGAGUUAAUACCUCGGGGUCUUGACGUAACCCAUAGAAGAAGCACCGGCUAACUCUGUGCCAGCCGCCGCCGUAAC
rnacentral:rRNA from 1 species